ensembl:lncRNA
GGGACACAGUAUACGGGAGUUUCUCUUUGAGGCAUAUUGGACCAUAGAGUUCUCGAUUCAGGAUGCGUUGGGAUACCCAUCUACUGUUUACUUUGAUUGCGUAACGCACUACACGUCAUAGAGAUCAUAUUCAAUUCGGUAUAUUCAAUUGUAUUCUAAUUCCUCAUUCUAUGCUAACAUCAAACUUGCGUCAUAAUAGCGUUGCAGGCACCUGCUACUUAUGUGGCCCACAACCACCUGUAACGGUCAGAUAGAAACCUUCAGUGUUCCGGACAGAGCAGUAACGUUGCUUCAACCCCACAUUUUCCAUUGGUAAAAGAGCGCGCAAUCACCAUAACAGCACUGGAUCGAAGCGGACGCGUAUCUUUCAUAUCCGAGUGAUCAUGACGAUGUCGGACUGAAGAACUUGACAUGUUUACCACUUCAGCAGAAUACCUGGGCCUCCGUGUGCCCCAGCUCCUGCACACAUCAGAUGAGUUCGGCUCAGAUCGUGUCAUCGGGCUCAACCUUUUCCUGAUUCUCCUCUUGCUCCUGUUCUGGGCUAUCCAUCUGCGUAAAAACGAUGAUGAUGUCUUCGGGGAGAUUGACCCAGAGCUGGUCACUAAGUUCAUAGAGGGAGUGCAGCUCAACUACAGCUACCUCAAACAACUGGAGGAACUUCUGGACAUGAAGAAGUCAGAGAUAGAGGACCUCACCUCUGAGAUGGACCUGGACUGCUGCUCUGAAUCCAAGUCAUGCUCUGACUCAUGCUGCUCAAGAUCAUCUUCUAGAUCACAUUCUAGAUCUUCUGUAUCCUCUAGAUCUAGUGAUGGCAGCACAUGCCAAACCUGUAAGAAACGGCCUCCAACUGACAGGUUUAAAUACCCGAAAAGCUGUAGGCCAGAUGGUCAAGAUAGUCCCUGCCCUCCAGUUAAUCCCUGCCCUCCAGUUAAUCCUAGCCCAGUGAGUAGUCCUAGCUCAAAGGCCACUCCUUGCCUCCAGCUACCAGGAGGUGGGGAUGAUGAGGACAGUUACCAUGGCUCCACUCUCUCCUCCCGCAGCUCCUCUAGGUACGUGUCUCCUUCUGACUCCCCUCUGCCCCUUGAAUACCAGCCCAGCCCUCAUCAGCCUGCUGCUACUGGUUGGAGGCGAAACUGGACUUUGAUGGAGACCAAAGCGGACUCUGUGACUAGUCCUGUGGCAGCUCCUUCUACUGUCACGUUCCCUGACUGCAAAGACAGAGCUGCUGACCUCACAGACCAUACAAACUGGUCCAAGACCACUCCAGACCAUUCCAAGACCACUCCAGACCACUCCAAGACUCCGACGGUGAGACAGAUUCUGACGGUGAGACAGCUGUUUGAGGUAGUGCCGAGGAAAGCAGACCCACCCCUCCUGCACCGCUGGCACCGCAGACGCCUGGAACUCAACGUGACGCAGAAGGUGGCCCGCAAUCGCUGGAGGAUUGCUGUGCUGAUGAUCUCAAUCGUUAGGUGGCUGCUCGCCGAGAGGCUGAAGGGAGGAGGCACCACGAGCUCAACCUCCCCCCCAACGUCCACCACUACCACCCACUCCAACACCUCAACCACCUCUCAGGCUAAGAAAGGAUCCGAGAUCAUUAGGAAAACUGUCAGCAUUCCAGCCUUCUUCCCACAGGGUGUAAACCCUCCACCUCACUCCCAG